rnacentral:rRNA from 1 species
CAGUAGCCGCGGUAAGACGAACCGUGCAAACGUUACUCGGAAUCACUGGGCUUAAAGCGCACGUAGGCGGCGACAUAAGUUAGAGGUGAAAUCCCAUCGGCUCAACCGUGGAACUGCCUCUAAUACUGUGUUGCUUGAGGGAGAACGGGGCAUUCGGAACUUCCGGUGGAGCGGUGAAAUGUGUUGAUAUCGGAAGGAACGCCGGUGGCGAAAGCGGAAUGCUGGGUCUCUUCUGACGCUGAGGUGCGAAAGCUAGGGUAGCGAACGGGAUUAGAUACCCGCGUAGUCCCUGUCUCUUAUU